GGUAUCGCUCCUUCUUAUUUUAAGUUGUACAGUGGUGCCUCGCAAGACGAAAUUAAUCCGUUCCGCGAGUCUCUUCGUCUUGCGUUUUUUUCGUCUUGCGAAGCACGGCUAUUAGCGGCUUAGCGGCUAUUAACGGCUUAGCGGCUUUAAGAAAAAGGAAACAAACUCGCAAGAAAUCGCAAGACGUUUCGUCUUGCGAAGCAAGCCCAUAGGGAAAUUCGUCUUGCGGAACGACUCAAAAAACGGAAAACUCUUUCGUCUAGCGAGUUUUUCGUCUUGCGAGGCAUCCGUCUUGCGGGGCACCACUGUACAUUGUAGUUUGUUCUUUCACUUCUGUUUUUAUUCAGUGCUUUAAAAAGUUCUAUUUUUUCUGAGCAUGGCCACUUAAUUACUACUAUCCAAUCUUUGGUAAUUGGCUAAGAGGCUGAAGAUAGGCACUAAUGAAAACAAUGGCAGAGAAAUUAACUCCCGGUUCAAAUAUGGCAUCAGUUUAAUAGGAGAAGUCCUAUUAAAAAGAGAAGUCUUCUCUUUUCAGGAGAAGUCCAUAUUCUAACAUUACGUGGGAACUUGCAGGAAAAUCUAUUUUGGUAUUUCCCAUCAGUUAUAAUAACCACAAUCGUAUUUCUCUUUAUGAAUUCAAGGAGCAGGGCUUCAUAAGAGAGUUCAUAGUAUUGACCACCUUGUAGGAGACCAAAUCAUUUGCAUACCGAAAUUUACCCAAAGAGUAUUUGUGCUGAGAAUAUUACAGGCCCUGGAUAAACCUUGGCGUGGAUAUGCAUGAUUGAUCCUCAUAAAACUCCAUAGAUGAACAUUGGAGCAUGGGUGCAAUUGGAGCACGUCAGAAGUUGUUCUUUCUUUUCAUUAGCUUGCCUUAGGGCCAAUUUAUAUAUUAUGCAAAAUCAAGCAACAAAGCUUUUCUCUGAACUGCAUCACUAGGGUCUACAUGUUUUGAGGUAGGUGUGUUGCAUCUUAAAAGUGCCUGGGGUGGAGGGGGAAAUCGAGGCACUACAAAAUAUUGUUUAUCACAAUCCCACCGUGGGUUUUUUGUGUGUGUGGAAAAAAUCCUUCAUCAAGGUCAGUGUAAAUGUACAAAUAGAUAAAUAGUAUAAAACAGAAUGAAAAGCACUGUCUCAUCUUCUGCUUUUCUCCAAUAUUUCAACUUUAAGUUGUCAGUUUGCAUAGAAUGACAGCGCAGUUUAGCUGUCAAGCAGGCUUUUCUUUGAACAACAGAUUUGGACUGCCUUUGUGAAGAGCGAAGGAACUGCUAAGUGAGCAUAGUUGAUAACAGGGCAGAUUCCAUUUCAUGCUCACUGCCAGUGUUUUUAUAGGGUUUUUAUAUUCACCUACCAGCUUUAGUACAGACUGAGGUGACUUUCAUGUUUCCUUUUGUCAAUGACCAGUGUCUAGUCUUGCUACGUUGCUGCACGUUUUUAAAAAUGGUAUGUGUGUAUGGAAAUGAAUGGUUCCCCCCCCCCCCCCACACCAUAGAUUUUGAUGUUUCUUGGGAACUUCCUCCAGGAGGACUUCUAACCCUGCUUUUCUGGAACAUGAAAUUGAAGGAAGAGACAAAUUAACUGUGGCCCACAUUCAAAGAAGAGGCAUGUGUACACAAGAGAGAAUUGCAUGUGCAGCGGAGUGCUGCCUGCAGUUUCCUUCAUGGAAAUCGUCUUUCUCAUGAGCCAAGUCCCCGUUCAGUUGAAAAAGUAGCUUGUCUACCAUCUGCUGCCGAGUUUGGCAAGGUGAGCUUGAGCAGCUGAGGUAAAGGCCAAGGUGGAUUAAUUUUUAUGGCAGGGACCACCAGCAAGCCAGGAUGAAUUCUCUUUCUUUUGCACUUAGACCAGAGGACAAACCUGACCUGAACACUUUUAUAAGCCUUGUUUAGCUAGUGAUCCUCAUAGCUCCUUCCUUUGAUCACUAAUGGUAAAGGUAAAGGGACCCCUGACCAUUAGGUCCAGUCGUGACAGACUCUCGGGUUGCGACGCUCAUCUCGCUUUAUUGGCCAAGGGAGCCGGCGUACAGCUUCCGGGUCAUGUGGCCAGCAUGACUAAGCCGCUUCUGGCGAACCAGAGCAGCGCACAGAAAUGCCGUUUACCUUCCUGCUGGAGCGGUACCUAUUUAUCUACUUGCACUUUGACGUGCUUUUGAACUGCUAGGUUGGCAGGAGCAGGGACCGAGCAACGGGAGCGCACCCCGUCAUGGGGAUUCGAACCGCUGACCUUCUGAUCAGCAAGUCCUAGGCUCUGUGGUUUAACCUACAGCGCCACCCGUGUCCCUGCUGUCACUAAUGGUAGACAGACGGUAUUGUCGUCUGACAUUCUUCUCCUUGCCUCCACUUUCAGUUUUGGGACUCAUUAUGGGCUGUAAAGGCUUUGAACUUUGCACGUAGUUCUCUUCUGCACUCACACACUUCAGAUUGUUUUAUAGUGAACUGGUUAUCCACCCUGUGAAGCAAGGCUAGGGAACCUCAUGUCUGGCACCCAAAUGCCUCCCCCAUGGCCCUCAGAACUCUCUCUAGGCCACACUCACCACUGGCUCUUCCUUGCACUCCAAAUGUUUUUGCCCAACUAGAAUAUGCAGGGUGAAGCAGCUGCCUCAGGCGGUGGAAUGGAAGCGGUGGCACCCCAGGUAAGGGAAGCUGUAGCAGCUGCAGAGCAUUCCACUGCCCAGCUUUGUUGCUGGUCUUCCACACUGGUGGGACCAGUGGCAAAGCUCUGUGUAACGAGUCUCUUCUUGCCGAGUCGGCGGGAGGCGAGGUCUCCCUCCCCAGCUUCGCCACUGGGUGGGAAGGGAGCUUCCCUCAGCCCAGAAGAGUAGCGAGGCUUGGAGAAGCUGUCCAAAGCUUUCUCCCCAUAACAUGACAGGGAGGCAGGAGAAGCCCUUGCAGAGUCUCCCCACCCCCAUCAUGGGGGUGGCAGGGGAAGCUUUGCCUCAGGUACUGAAAUGUCUGGUCAUUAUCUAGUGCUAACCGAGAUGAUGACCUUCCCUGGAGAGCAAAUUGCAGAGAGGAUGUACCACAGUAGAAAAGGGGCCAUACAGCUGGAAGCAACUACGUGGGGAUCUGCUGAAAAGAUGAUAACUGGGAUACAGAACUGGCCACGGCAGGAUCUAUUCUCAAAGGAGGAGUUAAUGUGAAUUUUUCAGCUUGUUUGGAGGUGCAGCUGGGGCAGCACCUUUUGAAAUGAACAAAAGCAGUUUAAAAUAUUACUCUGGUUGACGAUGAACGAAAUCUUAAAGAUAAGGUGACGUUCCUGUUGUUUUCUGGCACUAAGCACGUAGAAAAAGUGCCAGUGAAAACGUGGCAUCCGUAUGAUCCAGCGUAGGCACACAAGCACACACCCUGCAAAGAACCGCACUUUAAAGCUGCCGUCCAAGUAGAGAAAAUUGAGAGAGUUUUGCGAAUAUAGAGUGAAGACUGAUGGCUGGUGGUCCUCCAAACCUCAGUGUUUUCUCAGUAUCUCCCUUGUGGGAAAAACCUUUGCCAAAAUGGAAGCAUCUUUCAAUGAAAACUGACUGAGUGAUUAAACAGAAAAGCCUAGCAGUAAUGAUUCCUCCAUCCACUUUCAAAUCCUUGCAAUUCACUGCUUCUGUCAGGUUUCCUCCAGCGGAAUAUCUUUAUCUGCUUCCUGUUGAUCGCUUAAAAACAGGAGGCCCAGAUUUCCUACUUUCAAUCAGAGUUGCUCUUCAGAAUGAAAUGGGACUAAGUGAGAAAGUUUCCUGUGUGUUCCUAAGAAGGCUGCAUUACUCCUUUAGAUAUGUGGCUGAGCAGGAAAUAGAUAUUUAGGGUCAUGGUGGAGAUAAGUCAAUUAAAACAUCAGCCUGUGGCGUGGCAGCUGUGGAAAGAAGAACCCAUGCUGGGUGAUCAUUAGGGGAUGGACUGAAAAUAAAACUGACAAUAUCACAAUGCCUUUAUAAGCGUCCAUGGUGUGACCUUACUUAGAAUACCACUUAUAGUUCUGGUUGCCAGAACCUCGGAAAGGAUGGUACAGAGCUAUGAAAAGUCCUGAAAGGAGCAACCCAAAUGGUCAAGGGCCCUUCCCUCUGAGGAAGGUUUACUUUGCUUGGGGGCGUUUUAGUUUAGAAAAGGGAAAACUCGAUAGAGGUGUAUAAAUUUAUGCAUGGCGUGAGGAAAGUGGAUAGGGAGGAGUUUCUCCUGGGGCCUUCCAAUGUCGCCGAAUAGUGGGAAAUUCAGGACAGACAAAAGAAAGUAUUCCUUCGCGCAGUGAAUUUGCUCUCACAACAUGUAGUGACAGCCGCCAUCUUGUUUGGCUUUAAAAAGGGGAGAAGACCAAUUCAUGGAUGUUAAAUCUAUCAAUGGUCAAUAAGACAUGAUUGCUGUGUAUUGCCUCUAGGAUCAGAGGAAACAUACUUCUGAAUAUCAGUAGGGAACAGAAGCAAGAGAGUGAGCUAUUGCUGUCAUGUCUUAAGGCAAACAAGAUGGCAGCUCUGUGUAGGCCUUUGAUCUGAUCCAGCAGCUCAGCCCCAGUUGUGGAUUGCUUUUCAUUCUCUGGUUGUAAUCCUGUGCCAGGUUACUUGGGAGCAAGGCCUAUUGAAUUCAGUCUGCCUUCCUUCUGACUUGCAUAGGACUGAGCUAUCAAUCUGCUGUAUGCCUUAGGAUGGGCAGAAAGUAGUGUGAAACAUUGUUCCUAAGGGACAGUUUGCAUAAAUGUCCCUCGAUUGUUAAAUACAUUUUUUUUAUUUAAAUAUUUAUAAGCUGCCUUUCCUGACCAAGAAAAUGCAAGCAUAAAAAAUAUAAAAAAUACAAUAAGAAUUUAACAUUCAAAAACUGCAAAAACCAACAGUACGUUAAAAUAAAAUUAAAGCCAGUAUUAACAAAGGGGGGGGGGAUUUCAGAGCCAAAGCAAUAAACCAUUGCAUCUAGCAAUUAACAGUCCAGAAGUGCAGAUAUUCAGUUCAAAUCACCUCUUAGGUAGAAACGAGACACAUUUUUUUCACCCAGUUUUUCUUGUGAAAUAUGUAGUAACAAUCGAAUUGUGAAAUGGGUAUAGUAGUAACACUGUAUUAUGUAAAAUGUUGAUUUCUCUGUCCACUUGUGUCAUGUCAUCAUCUCGACAGACGUACAUGUUUGGGGCGUGGGAUGGGGCAAAAUCACAUGCAUACAUUUUGGACUGCAUUCCUUACUUAAAUUAGCAUCUCCAAGGGGCCAGCUGCAACCUUACUUUCUAAAUGAAGGUUACUGCAAAAUAACAGACAAAAAGAACAAGUGCAUCUUAGAGUUUGGGAGUGUAGAAACAUGUGCUGACAUCACAAAUCAGAUUAAUUUCAGUUUAUUUGGUCUAUGGACCAUAAACAUCAAAUACCGUUUUCAAAGUAAUUAUAGCAAAGAAAGAAGGAAGGAAGGAUGGACAAUAUAGAUGUACAUAAGUUGUGCCUUACCAAAUUUCAUAAACAAUCAAAAAUAGUUAAAAAUACAGACAAUUGUGACUUUGUUUUUUUUUUUAAAAUCAUAUUUAUUAAAGUUUCC